rnacentral:lncRNA from 1 species
CAUAUUACCUCUAUAUUGUAUAUAUUUAACAUAUAUCACACAUACCCAUACGAAAUUAUAUACUGCUCAUUCAAAAUAAUUCCCUACAUAAUCAUAUAUAUGUAUAUAUCAAGACAUACAAUUUUUAGACAUACACUCUCACCCAUUAUCUCCUAUAUAUGUAUCUAUUGGCAUACCCACAUACAUUCAAAUAUACUCAGUUAUGUAUUCAUGCAGCUUCAACAUUAUGUUUAAUUACACAAACACCCAUAAUUUACUUAACGUAUAUUUUAAACUUUUGCUUCAUAUACAUCUCACUGCAUGUACCCUCUUAUUCACUGCUGCAUCCAAGCGCACAUUGAAUUACCACACAAGGCAUAUUUGUACCUCUAUAGUAUACAUACACAAUCAUAAGAAGUCAUUCACACACUUUCACAUACAAAUGAUAAGUUAUAAGAAAACACAUUCUAAAAUCAUCCAUUAAACUUGGAUAAUCAUUUUGAAAUAAAUAAAUUAUUUCACAAAAGCAUGAAAUCUCCGAAUGAAAACUAACUCAAUUCUUACCAAAAUCUUCAACGGAAGAAGAAAUUAGAAAGUUUUCGAAUAACUUUAGUUUCAUACAAUCGGGCCCCUUUUUAGUUUCCUAUUCCCGAUUUUCCUAAAAAUUUCAUACAUAUGAUUAAGGAUUUAAUUUAAAAGAGAAAUAAUUGAAUAUAAGGUGGAAGAAAAUUUACCAAACUCAGCACUGGAUUCAGGCUUCCGACCUGAAGGAGUGCGAUUUCAGUCUCUCUCUCCGGUUCCCUGAUUUUUGGACUCGCAUGGAUCUUAAACGGAUCCAGAACACUGCACUGUAAUCUACCUCACGCGGACUAAGUCCACCCAACACUGUGUGCGACUUCUUCUCCAGCAACGAACACCGUUCCCCUAACACCAUGUGCAAGUCUUCUUUUUCGGCCCUGUGCACCACUCGCGUCGUGCCCACGCUUCCUUCCUUCCUUCAUUCUUCUUUUUCUUCUUCUUUGCUUCCC